ensembl:miRNA predicted gene, 23771
AGAAGUGGGCAUCUGUUGACAUGGGGGCCGAAGUCAGGCGCCAGGCAGCAGGCACUCUGCAUCUUAUCUCCGGAACAUCAAUCCUCCUUGACAGACUUGGGUGUCAGGCU